CACGUAGGGCGCAAGCGUUGUCCGGAAUUAUUGGGCGUAAAGAGCUCGUAGGCGGUUUGGCGCGUCUGCUGUGAAAACUCGGGGCUUAACUCCGGGCCUGCAGUGGGUACGGGCAGACUAGAGUGCGGUAGGGGAGACUGGAAUUCCUGGUGUAGCGGUGAAAUGCGCAGAUAUCAGGAGGAACACCGGUGGCGAAGGCGGGUCUCUGGGCCGUAACUGACGCUGAGGAGCGAAGGUCAGGGGAGCAAACGGG
rnacentral:rRNA from 1 species